rnacentral:rRNA from 1 species
GACGAACGCUGGUGGCGUGCUUAACACAUGCAAGUCGAACGGUGAAGCCCAGCUUGCUGGGUGGAUCAGUGGCGAACGGGUGAGUAACACGUGAGCAACCUGCCCUCCACUUCGGGAUAAGCCUUGGAAACGAGGUCUAAUACCGGAUAUGAGCGCCUGCCGCAUGGUGGGUGUUGGAAAGUUUUUCGGUGGGGGAUGGGCUCGCGGCCUAUCAGCUUGUUGGUGGGGUAAUGGCCUACCAAGGCGUCGACGGGUAGCCGGCCUGAGAGGGCGACCGGCCACACUGGGACUGAGACACGGCCCAGACUCCUACGGGAGGCAGCAGUGGGGAAUAUUGCACAAUGGGCGAAAGCCUGAUGCAGCGACGCCACGUGAGGGAUGACGGCCUUCGGGUUGUAAACCUCUUUCAGCAGGGAAGAAGCGCAAGUGACGGUACCUGCAGAAGAAGCGCCGGCUAACUACGUGCCAGCCGCCGCCGUAA